CGGGAAACCGGUUCACAUUCCGGUACCUGGGUGUGCGCGUGAUGGAGGGACGCAGGAGGGUAGGCGGGCCGGGUGAUGGAAGUCCCGGUCCAAGGCCGUAGGCGGGUUGUCCAGGCAAAUCCGGAUGACCGCAACGUCGAGAGCCGAUGGCGAGAGGCUUAGCCUCACAAAGCCGCUGAUCCCACGCUGCCGAGAAAAGCUUCUAAGCAUAGCACACGCAGACCGUACCCCAAACCGACACAGGUGGGCGGGUGGAGAACACUAAGGCGCACGAGUGAGAGCGCGUUAAGGAACUCUGCAAGAUGGCUCCGUAACUUCGGGAGAAGGAGUGCCCGCGUCAGGUGAAGGGGCUUGCCCCCGGAGCCGAGGCGGGCCGCAGUGACCAGGCCCAGCCGACUGUUUAGCAAAAACACAGCCCUCCGCAAACCCGCAAGGGGACGUAUGGGGGGUGACGCCUGCCCGGUGCCGGAAGGUCAAGGGGAGAGGUCAGCGCAAGCGAAGCCUUGAACCGAAGCCCCGGUGAACGGCGGCCGUAACUAUAACGGUCCUAAGGUAGCGAAAUUCCUUGUCGGGUAAGUUCCGACCUGCACGAAUGGCGUAACGAUCUGGGUGCUGUCUCAACGCGCCGCCCGGCGAAACUGGAGCGGCGGUGAAGAUACCGUCAACCCGCAGCAAGACGGAAAGACCCCGUGAACCUUCACUGCAACUUGGCGGUGACUUCUGGGCGGGACCGUGCAGGAUAGGUGGGAGGCCGAGAGGCCGGAGCGUCAGCUUCGGCGGAGCCGACCUUGAGAUACCACCCUGUCCCCUCUGGAAGUCUAACCGAGGCCCGCUUUUCCGGGCCCGGGACCCCGCCUGGUGGGCGGUUUGACUGGGGCGGUCGCCUCCCAAAGCGUAACGGAGGCGCGCAAUGGUUCCCUCAGAGUGAUUGGAAACCACUCGUAGAGUGCAAAGGCAUAAGGGAGCCUGACUGCGAGAGAGACAUCUCAAGCAGGGACGAAAGUCGGUCUUAGUGAUCCGGUGGUUCCUUGAGGAAGGGCCAUCGCUCAACGGAUAAAAGGUACUCCGGGGAUAACAGG
rnacentral:rRNA from 1 species